GAUGAAGAACGUAGCGAAAUGCGAUAAGUAGUGUGAAUUGCAGAAUUCAGUGAAUCAUCGAAUCUUUGAACGCACAUUGCGCCCCUUGGUAUUCCAUGGGGCAUGCCUGUUCGAGCGUCAUUUGUACCUUCAAGCUUUGCUUGGUGUUGGGUGUUUGUCCUGAGGGACUCGCCUUAAAGCGAUUGGCAGCCGGCAUAUUGGCCUUGGAGCGCAGCACAUUUUGCGCUUCUCGUCAUGAUUGUUGGCGUCCAUUAAGCCUAUACAUUUGCUCUUGACCUCGGAUCAGGUAGGGAUACCCGCUGAACUUAAGCAUAUCAAUAAGCGGAGGA
rnacentral:misc_RNA from 1 species